UACGUAGGGUGCAAGCGUUGUCCGGAAUUAUUGGGCGUAAAGAGCUCGUAGGCGGUUCGUCGCGUCGGCUGUGAAAACCUGAGGCUCAACCUCAGGCCUGCAGUCGAUACGGGCGGACUUGAGUACUACAGGGGAGACUGGAAUUCCUGGUGUAGCGGUGAAAUGCGCAGAUAUCAGGAGGAACACCGGUGGCGAAGGCGGGUCUCUGGGCAGUAACUGACGCUGAGGAGCGAAAGCGUGGGGAGCGAACAGG
rnacentral:rRNA from 1 species